AUUGAACGCUGGCGGCAUGCCUUACACAUGCAAGUCGAACGGCAGCACGGGAGCAAUCCUGGUGGCGAGUGGCGAACGGGUGAGUAAUAUAUCGGAACGUGCCCAGUCGUGGGGAUAACGUAGCGAAAGCUACGCUAAUACCGCAUACGAUCUAUGGAUGAAAGCGGGGGGAUCGCAAGACCUCGCGCGAUUGGAGCGGCCGAUAUCAGAUUAGGUAGUUGGUGAGGUAAAGGCUCACCAAGCCGACGAUCUGUAGCUGGUCUGAGAGGACGACCAGCCACACUGGGACUGAGACACGGCCCAGACUCCUACGGGAGGCAGCAGUGGGGGAAUUUUGGACAAUGGGCGCAAGCCUGAUCCAGCAAUGCCGGCCGUGGCAGGAUGAAGGCC
rnacentral:rRNA from 1 species